CUUUAGCCUGUGGUGCACAAU
rnacentral:piRNA from 1 species